CAGCAGCCGCCACGGUAAUACGGAGGGUGCAAGCGUUAAUCGGAAUUACUGGGCGUAAAGCGCACGCAGGCGGUCUGACAAGUCAGAUGUGAAAUCCCGGGCUUAACCUGGGAACUGCAUUUGAAACUGUCAGGCUGGAGUCUUGUAGAGGGGGGUAGAAUUCCAGGUGUAGCGGUGAAAUGCGUAGAGAUCUGGAGGAAUACCGGUGGCGAAGGCGGCCCCCUGGACAAAGACUGACGCUCAGGUGCGAAAGCGUGGGGAGCAAACAGGAUUAGAGACCCGCGUAGUCCCUGUCUCUUAUACA
rnacentral:rRNA from 1 species